GGUUCCUUUUAAGAAAAGCAACCAGAGGGCACAUUUCUUUGAGGCCGUAUCGUGUUGGGCAAAACUAUGAAAUGCUUAUUAACGUUUGAAAUUUCAUAAUUAUUUUUGAUUAAAAAAGAUGUUCUGCAAAGCGAUGUCUGUUUCCCAUAACUGGCGAGCGUUCCCCAGAUGGCCAUUCAGCCACCUCAAGAAUUAAUGUUUUCAUGACCCACGACCGCUUUUUCGUGGAGGAGUGUCUCUCCUACAGGUUGCUCCCCAGGAUGAGAACAAUAAAAGCAAAUCUAUAACAGCAAAGGCCCGAGGUUAAUGUCUUUAACAAGAUAAUGUUACUUAAGGGAACUGUAACGCAAAUCAUUCUGAAAUUCCAUAUAUUCGCUGCAGCUCCGAAACCAGCUGCACGUGCUGCCGGCGUGUCUGGCCAUGGAAAGGCUUGCUUUGUAAGUUACUUAUUUUGCUCAUGUGUCAGCCUGUUAGUUUAAUACUGUAAUCACUCAAAAUCCCCGUAAGAUGUGCGGAA
rnacentral:lncRNA from 1 species